CAUUAAUGACCAGCGUCCUAUAUUUGGGACACCUAGGAAAUCUGGUCAGUGUUAAUUAUUUCAGUGAUUAAUAUACAGUUAUCUCUGUUGUGUGGCUGUGCUAUCAGUCCUUUGUAUCAGGUAACACAAUUUGAGAUAAAAGCAGAAAGAGAUUUCAUGCAUUCAUAAGGCUGCAUUUAACGACAAGGGGCAAAUUUUUCUUGGACUUACAUUGGCUAAAAAAGGAUCACUGUAAAUGAUGUGUUGCAUCUUCUUGAAGAUGAUACAGACUUUCAAGUAGCUGAUGUGUUCAUGACUGGACCAGAAGAUCCUACAAAACGUGAUGUCGAUAGCGGGGAUGAAGACCUCGGAGGCCAUAUUAACAAUUUGACAGGGAACUUCGUGCUGAUGUGACUGUUUCUGUGCGAAGUGCCACCGGAUCAGUCCCAAACAUCACAGACAUUAACCAUUCGGACACAUCGCAGGAUGAGAGUAAUGAUAUAGAUUCUGUGUCCGAUGCAUCGGACACCACUAUUGACUAUGACGAUCAGAUCAGUGUGCAACAAAACCAGAAUGAGCAACGGAUGCCCAACAUUCCUAGAAGGGGAAGAUGAACAUGGUUGUGUAAAAUGCCUGGAUCCUGUACAGGUUAACCGUAUCAUAUCAGAACCAACCCAUGGAUCUUCUAGAUUUCAGGCGGGAAAUAUGCAAAGUUUAUCUUAUGCGGUAUUCCCAACGAGCUUUGCGCGGACGUCCGGUUGGGAGGGUCAUGCACAUUAAUCGCAGAGUACCGGCUGCUGUCAGGUAAGACAGGCGCGACCACUACAUUGCGCCAAACAACACACAUAAACGGUUUGCCUUAUGUGGCAGAAAGUCAACCCGGAUCUGCGUAAAGUGUAAUGUUGGACUCCAUGACAGAUGUUUCAUAGCAUUUCAUCGCCAGUCAUAAGUGGAGAUAUAUAUUUCACAAUUCAUAGACAGGUGAUUGGAUGGUCAUAAACAUGCAGAAAAACAUACAUUCGUGCAUAUUUGGAAGUAAAUGUGUCAUUACUGAAAGAUGGAAUAUAUACGAAUAUUGAUAUCUUAUGUGUCUGUCGUCCCAAAUUUGGGACAUGACUAAAAUUGCAUAAAGCAAUGAUAUGCCAAAAGUAAAUAUCAUUAUAAAGUUGUUUAAGAGCAUUAUUAUAUAGUUCCUUACAGUUUUUAAUCAAAUUGCAAAAAAUAAAAUAAUUUGGUUAUUAAUGGAUUAAUACGAGUAGCCAAAACUGAAUUUGCAUUUUAUGCAAUAGAUAUACAAUAUCUUCUAUCUUGAACACUUAACAUUUGUGAAAUUAAACUGGCAGAUACGUGAUAAUAUAUCAUAUGCUUAUGUGAUUUAUCACAAGUAAUAUAUAAUAUAUAAUAAUUUAACUAUAUGUUUUUUAUAAUAUGUGUUAAUUUAUAUAAGAUUUACGACUUUAAUGCUCCGACAAGGAUUCGCUUUAGUAAGAUGUCCUGGACAAAUUUACAUCUUUAAGGAUCAUAAAACAUCAGCGGCGCGGUCAUGUUACAUGUAAAUCUCAUUUUCGAGUCCACGAAUGUAUCUACAAUAUCGUAUUGAUUGUUCUGGUUCAUUCGACCUUGGCCUCGGCCUCUCACGCUUUUAUGAAAUGUAUAAUGGUUUUAUACCCGCACAAACCAGAUAUUAACGAACUGCAAUGUAUAUGGUGUUUGUACAUGCAUGCAAAGUGUUUUUGAUUUUCGGGGUUAAACUAACUAAAUGUUUGUUGAACGCAUAUUAAUGAUCAGUUAUUAUCAUAUCUAAGAAAAACUUGCCUAGGGAUGCAAAGUCAUUAAAUUUAGAUAUAUGUCAAACGUACUAGCGUUGUAAACUUAUCCGAAAUGAACAUAAUACAACUAAAUUGGAA